GUAGGUGGCAAGCGUUGUCCGGAAUUAUUGGGCGUAAAGCGCGCGCAGGCGGUCCUUUAAGUCUGAUGUGAAAGCCCACGGCUCAACCGUGGAGGGUCAUUGGAAACUGGGGGACUUGAGUACAGAAGAGGAAAGCGGAAUUCCAAGUGUAGCGGUGAAAUGCGUAGAGAUUUGGAGGAACACCAGUGGCGAAGGCGGCUUUCUGGUCUGUAACUGACGCUGAGGCGCGAAAGCGUGGGGAGCAAACAGGGAUUAGAUACCCUGGUAGUCCACGCCGUAAACGAUGAGUGCUAAGUGUUAGGGGGUUUCCCGCCCCUUAGUGCUGCAGCUAGCGCAUUAAGCACUCCGCCUGGGAGUACGCCGCAAGGCUG
rnacentral:rRNA from 1 species